AAGAGAGUGGCUGAGUGGUCAAAGGCGGUAGGCUGUAAACCUAUUGAUUUUAUCUUCGCAGGUUCAAAUCCUGCUUCUCUUA
rnacentral:tRNA from 1 species